rnacentral:rRNA from 1 species
UACGUAGGGCGCAAGCGUUGUCCGGAUUUAUUGGGCGUAAAGAGCUCGUAGGCGGUUCGUCGCGUCGGCUGUGAAAUCCCGAGGCUCAACCUCGGGUCUGCAGUCGAUACGGGCGGACUGGAGUUCGGCAGGGGAGACUGGAAUUCCUGGUGUAGCGGUGAAAUGCGCAGAUAUCAGGAGGAACACCGGUGGCGAAGGCGGGUCUCUGGGCCGAUACUGACGCUGAGGAGCGAAAGCGUGGGGAGCGAACAGG